rnacentral:lncRNA from 1 species
GGGUUGACCCACUGUGGAUCAGCGCCACCAGCGUUCGUAAGGUCUGCGGCGUGUCCCACCCAGUUAGCGCUUGCAACGUCAUUUCCGCUUCUUCCACUCCAGUUGAUUCUUCUGACUCAUCAUCCUCGUCAUCCUCCUCCACCAUGAGAAGUAAUUGCGACUUUUGACACUUAUGGCCUGGAGUGUAUCUCUCGUCGCAGCUGAAACACAAGCCAAGACUUCUUUUACGCUUCAUCUCAUCCCAGCUCAA